rnacentral:rRNA from 1 species
UCUAUCCUACGGGACGCAGCAGUAGGGAAUCUUCCACAGUGGACGAAAGUCUGAUGGAGCAACGCCGCGUGAGUGAAGAAGGGUUUCGGCUCGUAAAGCUCUGUUGGUAGUGAAGAAAGAUAGAGGUAGUAACUGGCCUUUAUUUGACGGUAAUUACUUAGAAAGUCACGGCUAACUACGUGCCAGCAGCCGCGGUAAUACGUAGGUGGCAAGCGUUGUCCGGAUUUUUUGGG